CGUCUACACAACAAGCGGACACAUGGCGUCAUUGGUCUCCCGAUGUCGCCCAGACUGCCCGAUCUUUGCUUUCACAACCACAACCUCGGUGAGAAGACGCUUAAACCUACAAUGGGGGCUUAUCCCAUUCCGUCUCAGCUUCUCAGACGACAUGGAAAGCAACUUGAACAAAACAUUCUCGUUACUGAAAUCAAGAGGCAUGAUAAAAUCUGGUGACCUCGUGAUCGCAGUCUCGGACAUGUUGCAAUCAAUCCAGGUAAUGAACGUCCCGUAAUUUCUCC
rnacentral:lncRNA from 1 species